CCUACGGGCGGCAGCAGUGAGGAAUAUUGGUCAAUGGGCGCGAGCCUGAACCAGCCAAGUAGCGUGAAGGAUGACUGCCCUACGGGUUGUAAACUUCUUUUAUACAGGAAUAAAGUGCGUCACGUGUGCCUUUUUGUAUGUACUGUAUGAAUAAGGAUCGGCUAAUUCCGUGCCAGCAGCCGCGGUAAUACGGAGGGUCCGAGCGUUAUCCGGAUUUAUUGGGUUUAAAGGGAGCGUAGAUGGGUUGUUAAGUCAGUUGUGAAAGGUUGGGGCUCAACCGUAAAAUUGCAAUGGAUACUGGCAGCCUUGAGUACACUUGAGGUAGGCGGAAUUCGUGGUGUAGCGGUGAAAUGCUUAGAUAUCACGAAGAACUCCGAUUGCGAAGGCAGCUUACUAAACUGCCACUGACAUUGAUGCUCGAAAGUGUGGGUAUCAAACAGGAUUAGAUACCCCGGUAGUC
rnacentral:rRNA from 1 species